UACGUAGGGUCCGAGCGUUGUCCGGAAUCAUUGGGCGUAAAGCGCGUGUAGGCGGUCCGAUAAGUUCGCUGUGAAAGUCGGGGGCUUAACCCUCGGAUGCCGGUGAAUACUGUCGGGCUUGAGUACGGAAGAGGCGAGUGGAAUUCCUGGUGUAGCGGUGAAAUGCGCAGAUAUCAGGAGGAACACCGGUGGCGAAGGCGGGUCUCUGGGCCGUAACUGACGCUGAGGAGCGAAAGCGUGGGGAGCGAACAGG
rnacentral:rRNA from 1 species